CUCAGUGACUGGCUUUGGUAUCGAGCUGUGUAUUUUGGAAAUCCCUAGCUUAGUGCUUUAGGAUGCGCCUUGAAAUACCAAGGGAAGGGGAAGAAGAAUUUGAAAAAUCCCUUCUCAGGAUAAUGCUCCAGGUAUCCGUCUCUACUCUCAUCACUCCCCAGCACACCCCAGUCCACCCUACAUACAGUAUCGUCUCCAGUCCUGCACCUUCAGGUUCCAGCGGCAUACCAUCACACAAGGAAUGAAGCCACUGUCACCCACAGAAGGAAACCACUGUCUCUACCAUGGCCUGCAAGGCCUCCACAUCCAGCACCCCACAGCUAGACCUCAUAGACCUC